ensembl:lncRNA
UGAUCCGGGCCGACCCCCAGGGGCGUCGCCGCCACUGCUCAGAGACUUUCCUGGCCGCGGCAUCCUCUGGGUCGUCCUCGUCAUCCUCGUCUGUGUCCGGAGGGCUCCCCGAGCACGCCCAGGCUGUGGCCAGGCGCCUCGGCUUCGACAGCAUCCUGUGGGGCAGCAGCAUUGCCGCCUCUCCCGAAUCCCCCUCGCAGCACGGGCCACCCUUGCUACCCAACGUCCAGGCUUCGUCCGCAGAGCAAGGUCUCAACUACAUCGACCUGGACCUGGCCAAUAAAGAGAGCCCUCACUCAGGACUGGACGGCCCCCAGAUGCCUCAGACCAUCCCCACGCGUCUGUUCUCCGGCGUACUGGGCGGAGGGGCUGUGGGAGUGGCCGGGGCGGGGCUCGGAGUGGUAGCCUCCAGCCUCAACACCUACGCCAGCAUCGACUUCUACAAGUCAGAGGAGCUGCGGACCCACCAGAGUGCCGGCAAAGACACAGGUGAGUUCCGAGCUGGAGUACUGGAAAAUUUAGAACAUAGGAGUACAUUACAUUACAUUACGACAGUGGUACAGGAGGUAGAGAAGUCGUUUAGUAAUCAGAAGGUUGCUAGUUCGAUUCCCUGUCGAAGCGUCCUUGAACCCCUAAUUGCUCCUGAUGCUAAAUGACUAAAUGUAAAUGUAAAUGUACAUUACACAUGUUUCAUACAUAUGCACACUGUUUCUUUGACCAAAGGGUACCCUGUAAAGCCAAUUGCACAUUGCCUCCAGCCAGACAAACCCAGCAUGCAUUGCUUUGUGACCUACAAGCACACACACAUGUGCCCCAUGCCCUGUUAUUCACACCCCAGUUUCACACAUUAGGUCUACCUUAUGAUGUGCUAAUUAGUAAAUCCAGAUGGUUAGCACACUUGCGAGGAUGUUUGCUUCUAAUGCUCAUUGCAUAACAGCCAUACGACAUCCAAGCUUACAGAGAAGUCAUAUCUCUGUCUAUAAAUGCCUGACGGAAAGUUAUGGUUAGCAUCCAGCCAUCCAGUCUGUGUAUGUAUACAGGCUUUGCAACAGAGACAGAAAGAUUACUUCACUCCCAUUGGCGUCCUCGUGCCGUCUUGCCACCGGGGUGAUUUUCCAUCCUACUGUCAAUUGUUGACAUGAACUCUACCCUGACCCCUUCUCCCUUUCCUUUCCUUUCUCUAAAUUAUUUUUCUCCGUCUCCGUGCCUCUCUUCGGCCACACCACUCCCUUUAUCUCCCUCUACAGCUUUUGUCUCUGUUUAGCUUCUGCUGUAUCAUAGUUGAAAUUGACAAUGGCCUUUUGGGUAAUACACCUCAAUGAGUGCCAUGUACCCUCUCAGUCUGGUAUUCAUGCCCAGCUGGUGCCACGCUGUGCCUGUGCCACUCACCUGGCCUGUGGUCGACUCCCCAUGAGUCCUUAACCAGCUUUGAUUUCUUUGGCCCCAAAUCGCAUAACCAUCGAAUCAUCUCAACCCCUGGAUAUUUUAGUACUGUUCGGCAAGGUUUAAUCUGACAGGUAUGUUUUGGGAUGUACUUCAGAUGGCUGUUUAGAGCUGACUUGUAUUGGAAUUAACGUAGUCUUCUAGACUUGGUAUGAAUUUAAAUAUUUUAAGAAUUUGCUUUGUUUAGUAAUGUAAAGUGUCCAUGAGAAUCAUUUCACAGAAUCAAGUUUUUUUUUUUUUAAAUGAGAUUUUUAGGCGUAAGGCACAUGAAAGAGUGCAGUCGCAGGCUUACGUCACUUGUGGUUGGUUUUUAACAAGGCACCGCUGUGGGCCUGAGUCGGUUUGCAGGGGCCAGUCAGUGUUUGGGCUAAGGUUACACGUCGACAUGUGGGUUCUGGAUUAGUUUCCUGAGCCCAAGCAAGUUCUUGGAAGUCAGAAUUUACAGUUACAGUUACAGUUGCGAGAUAGAAAGUCUCUGCCUCUAAAAGAUAGUCUACCAAUGUACCAUAUGUGGAUGUUUGUAUUCGUGCAUGGCAGAGAUUAUGAGUCUGUAAGUGGGGGCAUUAGCAAUCGUUAGUUUAAAUAAGGAAAAGAGGUAGUGUUGUGUAUGUGUGUGUGUGUGUAUGUGU